rnacentral:rRNA from 1 species
UCAGGUGGCCGCAGAGAAUAGGCCCAAGCGACUGUUUACCAAAAACAUAGGUUUCUGCUAAGUCGCAAGACGAUGUAUAGGAGCUGACGCCUGCCCGGUGCUGGAAGGUUAAGGGGAUCUGUUAGAGCAAUCGAAGCAGUGAACUUAAGCCCCAGUAAACGGCGGCCGUAACUAUAACGGUCCUAAGGUAGCGAAAUUCCUUGUCGGGUAAGUUCCGACCCG